UAAACCGCUUUUCGAGGGGACGAAGGCAAUGACGGUACCCUCGGAAGAAGGAUCGGCUAACUACGUGCCAGCAGCCGCGGUAAUACGUAGGGGGCGAGCGUUGUCCGGAAUUAUUGGGCGUAAAGGGCGUGCAGGCGGUCUGAAUAGUCUGAUGUGAAAGGCCACGGCUCAACCGUGGGAGUGCAUUGGAAACUGUCAGACUUGAGUGCAGGAAAGGAGAGUGGAAUUCCCGGUGUAGCGGUGAAAUGCGUAGAGAUCGGGAGGAACACCAGUGGCGAAGGCGGCUCUCUGGCCUGACACUGACGCUGAGACGCGAAAGCGUGGAUAGCGAACAGGAUUAGAUACCCUGGUAGUCCACGCCGUAAACGAUGAGUGCUAGGUGUUAGGGGUUUCAAUACCCUUAGUGCCGAAGUUAACACAUUAAGCACUCCGCCUGGGGAGUACGGCCGCAAGGCUGAAACUCAAAGGAAUUGACGGGGGCCCGCACAAGCGGUGGAGCAUGUGGUUUAAUUCGAAGCAACGCGAAGCACCUUACCAGGGCUUGACAUCCUCUGACGCCUUUAGAGAUAGAGGUUUCCCUUCGGGGACAGAGAGACAGGUGGUGCAUGGUUGUCGUCAGC
rnacentral:rRNA from 1 species